CAGAAGCUUUGCCAGUAGCCAUGCUGUGUCUAUACAAAACCUCUAGCAAAAGCAUCACUUAAUCCCUCUGUGAUUGAUCUGAGCAAGGGAGAGUUACCUGGUGACAGCAGCUGAGUUAGACCUGAAGUAAACUGUGGUUAAAUGUCCGUGGCAAGAUGAAACAGAAGGAAAAUUACUGCACACACCCAGCAUCCCUGGGAAACUGGGAUCAAGUAAGCUGACCAAAACUGCAUUAGUGCUGGUGAAACCAGCAGUUGUGCUCUCAACUUUGUGUCCGUUGUCUCAUGAGGAAUAAAGGGGAAAGUGUAAAUUGCUUAUAUAAAGCUCAGCAGGCAAUUAGUUUUUUAGAAAAGAAUUGCAGUAAAAUAGACCCUGGUGUGGGUGUGAAGGAUGGACCUUUGAAGUCUAACUGCGAUUGUAAGUUAUGCAUACUUGUGGCCUCUGGGAUCUUUUCUAUCUAACGUGUUACCAAAGUUCAGUUUUUUGAAAGACAGCUAUAUUUAAUUUUAGAAUGAAGUUAUUCUGAAUGCCUACGCACUUAUGUCACUCUCCUCAUCUGAAAUUGGAUAUUAAUGAAAAAAAUAAUGGAGGAGAGUCAAGUUGGACUGUGGGGCUUUGGGUCCAGCUGUUGUGAUCCAGAUUUGUGUGACCACAUGGGGAAGCGAGCUGGAAAUAAGGGGUUCCAGCUGAGUUCCUGAGCAGGCCAGCUACCUAUAUGCAGGCUGCUUUUCCUACUCUUUAGCCUAGAAAGGGAUUUCAGCUUGAUCUUGUAUAUCAUUUAAGUGCAGAUAGAUACAGGGGCGGAACUUCACACCUGACCUUUUAGAUUGACGGAAAUUGAGACUUAGCAUUUUCAAAACCUUGAUGUAGAAUUAUCACAGCAAAAUUUUGCUACUGAAGCCAAUAGAUUGCUUUUGUCUCCGUAUGGGAACUGCUCAAUCACGGCCUGAACCUCUGAUUGAUCACCUGAGGUGAGCAUAUGAGUCAGCUACAGGAGCACAGGUGAAGGCAAUUCACCUGUGCUGCUGGAAGGGGUGGAACCUGGCUGCACCUCUCUUAGACCCAUUUAAGAGCUGACUGCCAGUAGGGAAGGAUCUCUUCUGGAGAUCUUCUCUGCUGGAGAUUCAUAGCAAACUCAGGAUUUGGUGACCUCAGCAGAAGCUUUCAUCCAGUUUCUCGGUGAAGCUGCAAAAGUCAGGCACCUGCUCCCAUCUUAAGUUCACUGCAGACUCAGGCUUGAACAGUCCAUAGGGUGCAGAAGUUCAGUUCUUUGGAAAAUGAGAACAGCGAAAAACAUUUCCUCUCUUUGACAGAGCAAUGGCAAAGCAGACUAAAAUACGGUUGAAAAGACUUUGCUUGUAAAAAUUUGUGAUAUGAUUAUGGAGUAUUUUGCCUAUGAGUAAUGGAUUGGAAUCUGUAAUUGUUGGCUCCAACGUUGUUUUUGCUAACUUGAACCACUGCAGCACUUCAAAAACGCCAUUAUGAUGGGGGUCUUAUUAAGCCAUCACCAGAGGAAGACAAAUAGUUCCCCUCCACCCCUCUCCAAAAAAUCACUAUCUAUAAAUGAGCCUGUGGGGAUAUAAACUAAAGAUUUUGAAAGUAAAUAAGUUUUGCCACAGCUCAAGAGAUUUGGAUGCAAAUUUUCCAGAAUUUAGAAUUGUUUUAAAGCUGAACUCUUCACAGCCACUCCCAGUUUGAAAAUUAAUUUCCUCCUUUUUUUUUUUUCCCCAAGGUCUUGCUAAAUAUAUUUAAUAAAUUAAAACUAAGUAUUGCCAGCUCUAUCAACAACUUUGUCUUUACGGAUAUUCCAUGCUGAGCUUUUACUAAACAGACUGAAGUAGGAGAGCAGUAAGUUCAACCUUUCUUUCUCCCCCUGAGGAGUCCACUCCCUUCGCAGAGCACAGAGUUCAGCUCUCAGCCCAGACCACCCACAUCAUGAAUGAAUGCUCUGAACUUGCCCUCCAACCACCUGGAACUGGAGAGCUGCCUUCUGAAAUAGACUAUACCCUCUUCUGCUUCCUAUUAUCUCAGGUAUAUUUUUCAGUACUUAAGCACUCUAUAGAGAAGGGUGAUACCCAUGCUACUGCUUUAAUUAUUACCGAAACGUUUACCCUCCGAGGAACAGGAAAAAUACAGGAAAAAAGACAACAGUAAGUAAAAAGCAAAGUAGAAGUAAAAAUUAUCAGUAGACUAGUGUUAUACUUAUUUACUUCAUUAUCCAUUUCUUCCCAGGUUGCAAUAGGGAACCUGAGAAGUCAGACUAGCAUGCACACAGGAGUUCGGAGCCUCUUUAUUCAAUAUAAGUAGUGUUACUACUUGGUGCUUAAGGAGAAACUGAUCACUUGAUCUGGUCACAGAUCUGCAAAGAAAUUUGGUGUUUGGUGGCUGCUGUCACUCGCACUGCUGCUGGAUGUUGGGGAAGAACCUCUAGUGGCAGUAGCAGGACUCAGGCUUAUCAUCCCUAGGGCUUCUGCUUUGGCACAGGUAAUACUGAAGUGAACACCCAUGCUUGACAAAGUUAGGGAGAGAAGCUUAAGAAGUGCCAUGAAUUGCCAAUGGAAGCAUCAGUGAGGUCUUCCUCUGAUACUUCCUAACACUUCGGCAUGCCCACUAACAACAGAAAUCAGGACAGAAUUAUGCAACCAUGGUAUAAUUAUCAAAUGGUGUCUAAAUGGUCCAUUUUCAUCUGCCUGGCAGCUCUGGAGAUGAGUUCUGGGAGGACAGGCGACACCUGUGUUCUAGAAAAGCAAGACCUUGAAGUUCAUGUUGCUGAAAGCAUAACUGACUGCUGGAAGGAGUAAACAGAAGGGUCCUCCUCCAGGAGUAGCAGAGGCUAACCAGUGCUAACAGCAGUUGUCUGUGGAAAUACUGUUAAGUUUCUGCACGAGGUCUUGUAUUUCUAAACUCUGUCCCAGCAUCUGCAGUCAGGAGAGAAGUCCAACAUUUCCCUACUACCAACCUUUGUAACAUUCAGAGAAAAUAGCAGAAUGUUUGUGUGUAAAUUUGUUUCUAGUUUUGUGCAGCGAAGAAGGGAGAGAAUUGCUGAUAAAGACUUCAUCAGAAGUGGAAUACUGAUCAACAUGUCACUACAUAAACCAAAGAUCAUUUACUGUCAGUGAUGCACUUUGAUCUUUUAUGUCAAAUUCAACCAUAGCGUAACAGCAUUAAUUGACCUUGAGGAUUUAUUUGACUUUUCUUUUUCAAAUGUUUUCAUCUUGUUUUUGGAAAAAAUAUGUGGUAACAGAUUUGCGAUGCACUUAAUUCACAUUCUUGAAGUUUAUGAUGGCCCAACCUAGCCUGUGUUCGCAUUCCAGCGUUUCCUCCUGCAUAAACCAAAGCACCUUCCAGAUGUGGUUGAUAAAUUGACUUUGGUUCUGCUCUGCAGAAGUUGUAUCAAGAUUUCUUAAUGACAAGCACGAGUUUUUAUUUGAUUUCAGUUUUUUUUCUGUACCAGUAAACUCAUUUUUUCAUAGCAACAAAGCCAGUUCUACAAGGUUCAUUCUGGAAGCCCUUUGAGGUUCCUUGCCUGCCAGGAUGGGAGGAGUCAGCUGCUGCUGGGUGAGCACUGGGAGGAGAAACAGUCUGAGAGACUUGCAGACCACCAUGCAGCCAGUAGAAGGGUGGAGGGAGAAAUGCGAACAAACAGAAUUUCCAGAUUAAUCCCUUCUUGUAUCCUGGUUUUUCUGUUCUAUCUUUUAUAUGAAAAACUCCACGCAGUGAAGCUUCAUUGUUUGUGUUUUGGGAUUUGUGCAGCAUCUAGCAGAGUAUUGUUAAAGCAAGGAUGAUUCUUCAUGGAUGAGGCAAUGCCAGCUAUGAGUGAUUUAUUUACAGACAGAAAGAAAAAUAUUUUUAAAUGCAUCAAUACCUGCUUUCAUGUGUUUUAGGUAAAACUCAUUUUCCUUUACGGUCAGGGUUUUAGAAAAACGUUAGAUUUUCCUAGGCCUAAUAUUUAAAACUUUUCUUCUCAUAAUUAAUGCAGGAUGCUGAAAAUAUUUUAAAAUGGCUUACAUAAAUAAUUGUUUCACUAAUAUGUCUAAAAACAUAACCUGUUUUCCUGGACCAGAUAGACAUUUCUUGCAACACUGCUUUUUAAUCCACAUUCCACUGCCUGGAAGAGAUACAUUUAAUUCUUUGGAAAAGAUCUCUAAGAAGUGAGAAAUUGAAAAAUGCUGGCUCCGUUAUUUUUUAGAGCCAGUACAUUUCCCUUUGCUUCAUGGUUGCCAAGAGCUUUUAUCCAUUAAGGAUACUCAGACUUACAUCUACUCAGUUCACUUACACAGAUCCAUAUAUUAUGAGGUUCUGGGUUCCAGAGUAAGUCUUACACAAAGCGCUGCUGAAAUGGUCUCGCAGGAUGCAAGGGGCCGUCCAUAUAGUGACAGCUAACAGACUGUUAGGGAAGCAUUGUUAGAUUUGCUGCAUACCAAAGGGAAAAGCACUCUCUCUAAAUUAAAAAAAAAUAAUAAUUAAUUUAGCGUGUUAUGUAAAUUUGAGAACAUAUGAUGUUUGUAUGUCAACCUGAGCUGAGCCUGCUUAUAGUGUAAUGCACUCCUUUCUAGUAACUGUAAUGUUGUAUUUUAUGCAUUCUCAUUCUUAUAUAUUUUCAUAACUGAUUGGCUUCCUUUUGUGUCACUCAAACAGAAUUUAUGCUCUUUCUACAGCACUUUGCUAUGUGAGCUGCACAGAGAUUUCUGAUAAUACUCAUCAGGUGAAUUGCUUUCACCUCUUUCCUAGUUGUCUUCUCUUAUCUUGUUAGACUUAUUUCCAUGGCUAUGUCUGAUAUAAUCCAAGUGCGUGUCCAGGGCUUCUCAGCACAGGAAACAGAGCCUACUUUUUCAAGUAAUUCUCCUAAUGUGAACACUCUUAGACAUAGCAGUCACACAAGGAUAUUUGCCAGCACCACCUUUCAAAUCAUUCCAUUCUGUGCUUUUCGAUGACAUUAAAAUCUCACAAUUCACUUUCACAAGGCCCUGUGGGAAAAGCAAGUCUUUGGGUCAGUCAUUUUGAGGUGUUAUGUUUUCGUUUUAACUCCGAUUUUUCACUAGGGGAGGUGGCUGAUCCCAGUUUUUCCUGCUUCCUUGGAACAUCUUCCUUGGCUCCUUAGAGGGGAUUUCAAGCUCACUGAGCCUGCUUUUGUUAGUGGUUUUUUACUCACCUAUUUUUACUGAGGGUGGAUGAGUGGAUUUGUGUUUUUGCCACAUUCAAUGAUGGUUACUUGUCAUCUGUUUCUACAGAUUCAAAUUUUGGUUAUGUUGAGCCAGUGAUGGACAAACAGAGCACUGUGAUGUGUUAAUGACUUAGCUUGCUCCCUCUCUGUUACCAGCAUUUGUGCACGUUCUGGUCAGUUCCACGGCAUGGAGGCUUGUGAUGGGCACAGUGAGACUCGUCAGAUUGGUCUGCAGUGCUCUCCAUGGACAUCAUAGCUUUUUCCAUUUAAACUGCCCUCUCGGAGUAUUUCUUACAUGUUUCCGUGACACAGUGAACAUUUGUUAUUUCACCAUGUGGACUUGAGUAUAUUUAGUUCUGUUGGUCACUGCACUAUAUUCUCUGUGCAGUUCCCUCUGCUGAUCAGAAAGGACUUUCCCAUAGCAUUAAGAAAAUUACGUAUUUAUCACAGCUCCUCUACAUAUACCUCCUUGUCAUGUCCUGCUCAUAAGGGGAGGAGAAAAGGAGUGACAUUUACAUUCCUCAUGGUGAGCAGAUCCUUUCACCCUGCCGCUUUCCUGCACAGACAGCUGCACAGGGCCAGAAGAGACCAACAUUUUGUUUGCCUGAAACUUUUAACAAGCCCCUCUGGUGUAUCCAUAGAAUGGUUGGGGUUGAAAGGGGCCGUUAAGAACCUCUAUUUCCAACUCCCUCGCUGUAGGCAGUAACACCUCCUACUAGACCAGGUUGCUCACGGCCUUAUCCUGCCUGGCCUUGAAUGCUUCCAGGGAGAGGGCAUUCACAGCCUUGUUGGGCAACCUGCUCCAGUGUCUCAUCAGUAAAGUUCUUUACGGUUCCAGUGUCACCAUAAAGAAUUUCUUCCUACUAUCUAAUCUACAUCUACCCUCCUUCAGUUUAAAGCCAUUUCCCUUCAUCCUGUUGCUGCAUCCCCUUAUAAAAAGUUCCUCCCCAGCUUUCCUGUGAAAAUAACAGUUUGUGAAUGUCCUUGUGUAAGUCAGCCUCCCCUGAACAAUAUGAAGGAGCAAUCCUUUUACGUACUCUUCUGAUGCGCGCUACUUAAGCUGUCCUCGUCCCCUCAGUGUGAUAGCUGACUGAUUUGAUCACUCCCAUGGGAAUUUUUAGUAGAAACAAGAUUUUGGCUCUCCUUUUUAUUUCCCUCUGGAAAUUUGAUUAGAAUCUGUACACUGCAAUUCAACAAUGCAAAGUUUCUAACAGCUUUAGAGUGCAUGCAUUGUAUUGAGGUUUGCUUCUUAAACAUAGAUCUCUUGUGGAAUAAUUGAUACCUUGAAUAAUUUGUAUCUGAAAUGUUGGCUGUUACUCAAAGGCAUCAGAAAUCUGUCUCUUUGGUUACCAUCAAGAGUCUUCUAGAAGAAGAUGCUAAGUGAGUAUGGUUAAUAUCAGAGUGGCUGUGAUUCGCAGUAGGACUGGACAGUAAUACAAGCACUGCAGAGUUUGUUCCUGCAUUUUUCCUGCUCUUCUACUCAGAACUAAAUGUUGCACUUGGCGGAUAUAUAGUAGAUGAAGUCACAGCGCACCUUCUUGCCUGCCUUUCAGCAGCUAUCUUUAAGCAAGAUUUGCUGGAAAAAUCCUGAUGUUGUUUUGUUGGCCUUGUGGAAGAAACUUGAAGUGCUUCUGAAACAUAAAAAAACACGUGAGUCACAGGGUCCAUUGUGUAAGGAGAUUAGGAAUCAAAUAAUGAUGUACUGUGUACUAGCCAAACUACGCUUUGUCACAGAAAGAGACUUAAUGAAAUUCUGGAGUUUCUCAACCAAAAUAAGGAUAACUCUUUUUAUAUUUUAUUUUCAUGAAAAGGAUAGAUUAAAAUGUUUUAGAGGAGACAGAAUAUGAAGAUGUGGUUCUAAAUUUCUGCUUGGAAAAAGAAAAAUUGAACAGGAUGAGGAAAGUGAUGUUUUUCUCCUCUGGAUUUUGUAGUUGCACUAUUUGGAUUGAUCUCGCUGUAGAAAAUUUCCUUUCUUUAGAAGAAGCAUUUUGGCUUUGUCCAAACAGCAAUAAGAGAACACUUUCAGGUGUAAAAACUACAGAUCUAUUGGGCAACCCAACGAAAUUUAGAAACCUGAGAAUAAUAGAAAGCAAAUCUGUUAGCAAUUGCCAUUCAUAUCAGAGAGACGUCUUGCAAAAAACUUCUGGAUUCUAGAUUCAGGGAAGGGAAAUAUUAAGCAAAGCACUGACAAGAACAAUGAAACGGUCCAUGAAAUUUUGGCCAUCAAUACUAGAGAAUUCAUGUUUGCUUAUACAUCUUUGGUUGUGGCUCUGAAAAAAGUGAAUACUUCUGCAGUUCUUUUUAUUCAGUUUCUUCAUAUUCGUAGCUGCUGUGUAUUUUGUUGAUCGUGUAUUGAUGACUCAGAAUGAAAACUUGUAAGAUGAGCAAAUCAGAAAUAAAAACAUUAUAGAAAGUC